rnacentral:tRNA from 1 species
GCCAUCGUCUAGCGGGCGGGCAUCCGAGGACCCCGCCCUGCCACGGCGGUAGCACGGGUUCGAAUCCCGUUGGGGGUG